rnacentral:rRNA from 1 species
GACGAACGCUGGCGGCGUGCCUAAUACAUGCAAGUCGAACGAACUCUGGUAUUGAUUGGUGCUUGCAUCAUGAUUUACAUUUGAGUGAGUGGCGAACUGGUGAGUAACACGUGGGAAACCUGCCCAGAAGCGGGGGAUAACACCUGGAAACAGAUGCUAAUACCGCAUAACAACUUGGACCGCAUGGUCCGAGCUUGAAAGAUGGUUUCGGCUAUCACUUUUGGAUGGUCCCGCGGCGUAUUAGCUAGAUGGUGGGGUAACGGCUCACCAUGGCAAUGAUACGUAGCCGACCUGAGAGGGUAAUCGGCCACAUUGGGACUGAGACACGGCCCAAACUCCUACGGGAGGCAGCAGUAGGGAAUCUUCCACAAUGGACGAAAGUCUGAUGGAGCAACGCCGCGUGAGUAAAGAAGGGUUUCGGCUCGUAAAACUCUGUUGUUAAAGAAGAACAUAUCUGAGAGUAACUGUUCAGGUAUUGACGGUAUUUAACCAGAAAGCCACGGCUAACUACGUGCCAGCAGCCGCGGUAAUACGUAGGUGGCAAGCGUUGUCCGGAUUUAUUGGGCGUAAAGCGAGCGCAGGCGGUUUUUUAAGUCUGAUGUGAAAGCCUUCGGCUCAACCGAAGAAGUGCAUCGGAAACUGGGAAACUUGAGUGCAGAAGAGGACAGUGGAACUCCAUGUGUAGCGGUGAAAUGCGUAGAUAUAUGGAAGAACACCAGUGGCGAAGGCGGCUGUCUGGUCUGUAACUGACGCUGAGGCUCGAAAGUAUGGGUAGCAAACAGGAUUAGAUACCCUGGUAGUCCAUACCGUAAACGAUGAAUGCUAAGUGUUGGAGGGUUUCCGCCCUUCAGUGCUGCAGCUAACGCAUUAAGCAUUCCGCCUGGGGAGUACGGCCGCAAGGCUGAAACUCAAAGGAAUUGACGGGGGCCCGCACAAGCGGUGGAGCAUGUGGUUUAAUUCGAAGCUACGCGAAGAACCUUACCAGGUCUUGACAUACUAUGCAAAUCCAAGAGAUUAGACGUUCCCUUCGGGGACAUGGAUACAGGUGGUGCAUGGUUGUCGUCAGCUCGUGUCGUGAGAUGUUGGGUUAAGUCCCGCAACGAGCGCAACCCUUAUUAUCAGUUGCCAGCAUUAAGUUGGGCACUCUGGUGAGACUGCCGGUGACAAACCGGAGGAAGGUGGGGAUGACGUCAAAUCAUCAUGCCCCUUAUGACCUGGGCUACACACGUGCUACAAUGGAUGGUACAACGAGUUGCGAACUCGCGAGAGUAAGCUAAUCUCUUAAAGCCAUUCUCAGUUCGGAUUGUAGGCUGCAACUCGCCUACAUGAAGUCGGAAUCGCUAGUAAUCGCGGAUCAGCAUGCCGCGGUGAAUACGUUCCCGGGCCUUGUACACACCGCCCGUCACACCAUGAGAGUUUGUAACACCCAAAGUCGGUGGGGUAACCUUUUAGGAACCAGCCGCCUAAGGUGGGACAGAUGAUUAGGGUGAAGUCGUAACAAGGUAGCCGUAG